UAGCGGCGGCGGGGCCUGGGCCUGGACCGGUGGCUGCCAUGGCCACGGCUCUCUCCUCCACGCCGAUGAGCGGGAACCGCUCCAUCAGCCGCGUCGCCGCCGCCUCGCCGCUGAGCCCGAUGCGGCUGAGCCGGCUGCAGGAGAAGGAGGAGCUGCAGCAGCUCAACGACCGCCUGGCCGCCUACAUCGAGCGGGUGCGGGCGCUGGAGGCCGACAACUCGGUGCUGCACCAGCGGCUGGCCGAGCAGGAGGCGGGCAGCGACCGGGAGCUGGAAAACCUACGGGUCCACUACCAGGAGGAGCUGGCCGAUGCCCGCCGGGCGCUGGACGAUAUCGCCAUCGAGCGGGCCACGCUGCAGGUGGAGCUGGGCAAGAUCGGCGAGGAGCACCGGCAGCUGCACAGCAGGAAUUCAAAAAAAGAAGCCGAUUUAAAUGUGGCACAGGCUCGUGUGAGAGACCUUGACGCUCAGCUGAAUGCGAAGGAAGCUGAUUUAGCAACAGCUUUGAAUACAAACCGAACUUUGGAGAAUGACCUUCGUGAAUUAAAGGAUCAAGUAGUCACACUGCAGCUGUCACUGAAGGAUACCAAAGAGCAUCUCCACAGUGAAAUGUUGAGGAGGGUGGAACUGGAAAAUCAUAUGAAAACUUUGCAGGAACAACUGAUGUUCCAGAAGCGCCUUCAUGAAGAUGAGCUCAAGGAGUCAAAAAGAGUCCAUGAGAGCAGGAUAGCAGAAAUAGAAUCUGGUCGUCAGAGAGAAUUUGAAAGUAAGCUCUUGGAUGCUCUGCAGGGGCUCAGAAAACAACAUGAAGAACAAAUUCAAGGAUACAAAGAGGAGCUGGAGCGAACAUUCAAUGCAAAAGUGCAGAAUGCCCAGCUAUCUGCAGCAAAACAUAGUGAUGUUGCCAAUGCUGCUCGGGAGGAGCUGAGGGAAACAAAGCUGCGAGCUGAUGCUCUGACAUCUCAAGUUAGUCAAUAUCAAAACCAGACUGUUGCUUUGGAGAACAGAAUAAAGGAGCUACAGGGGAUGCUUGAUCAUGAUCGUGAUCUCCAUCGAAGGCGUAUGGCUGAAAAAGAGAAAGAAAUGGCACAAGUCCAGCAGCAGGCACAGGAACAGUUGGAAGAAUAUGAGCAUCUCUUAGAUGUGAAACUAGCUCUAGAUCUGGAAAUAAAUGCUUACAGAAAGAUGCUGGAAGGAGAGGAACAGAGGCUAAAGCUGUCACCCAGUCCAUCCUCACGCAGCACUGCAACUCAAGCAACGCAAGCAACAAGUCAAGGGCGACGGUUCCUGCAUGGGAAGAAGAGGAAAAUGAAAGAAGCCAGAAAGAGAGGUCACAGUGCUGGAUUUAAGACUGUUCAGCAUGCUUCGUCUUCUGGACAUAUAUCUAUUGAAGAAAUUGAUGCAGAUGGGAAAUUUGUCAGGCUUAAAAACAACUCUGAUGAGGAUCAAUCACUACAUGGAUGGGUGUUAAGAAGACAUCUUGGAAGUGUGCCAGAUGUAACAUACAAGUUUCCUUCACUGUUCAUUCUUCAGGCAGGCGAAGUAGUUACAAUCUGGGGUGCAGCUGCUGGUGUGAGCCCAGGUCCUAGUGAUCUGGUCUGGAAGUCUCAGAAGUCCUGGGGAAGUGGGGAUAAUAUUGAUGUUACACUUAUCACAGAUGAUGGUGAGGAACUUGCAGAGAGGAAGAUAAUGCAUAUACCCAGAGGAGAAGAAAGUGGUGAGCAAGAUGAUGAUUAUGAAGAAGUAACUGGAAGUGAAAUGGAGUUUCCAUCUCAGACUAAAAGAAGAAGAAAAAAGAAAUGUUGUUUGGUUUCAUGAUAUUGGUUCCUGUGAGUCUCCUUAAGCAGCAACUUUACAAUACACUUGUGUGCCACUUAUGCAAAAUGGGGAUGCUAGCUGUUAUAUCAUGUGAUGUGGACAAAUUGAUGAUCAUCUGAAAACAGUUCUCAAUCCCAGGUGACACAGACAACGUGUUUUGGUAUCUUCUGCAAUAUUCACAUCUCCCAUCUGACCUCUUUGUAAGAAAAAUUGUCCAUAACAUGAUGGAAUUUCCUACCUUCUGAUACUGGACUCUAUUCUUGGAUUCACUGAUAUAAAGAGCAGUAGAAUACAAGCUCCAUGUGAAGUUAUUUUUACUUUCACACGAGGAUCUGAUGUCUGUGACCUGCUGAAACAGAGGAUGGUACACAGUUCACAAAGCUUCUAAACGUAUGCCCUAGAAGGAUGCUAAAUACUCGACAGUUCUGAUACGGUGUUUCUCCAAAGGUAAUUUCUCUUUCAAGCCUGAGUGGGAAACUACAUGGGCCAGGUCGCACCCCAGCUUGCACCUUGAGCAAGUCUGAACUCGGCUGAAGUAAAACAUUAACCUGAAGAGUGCUGAGUGUCUGAAAUGUUUUCUGCUCAGAUCCUGAUGCUGAAAUAUACGAAACUGGUCCAGAUCACUUGCUAGAGAACUUCCUAGAAUGAAACAUUUUAAAAUUAAAAGCCAGCUGUAAAAAAUAUUCCUGUCUUAUUAAAUGUACUGUUCCUGUAUUCUAGCCAAUUUCAGUACUGUAUAUUCCUAGAUACAGGAUAUCCCAGCAUGGCUGUGUCAAACUUAACUUGGAGAGAUGUACCCUGUAAAUGUGAAAAAGCAUCUCAUUCCAGCAGAGAAGGUACUGUAACUAGCAAUAUUAGUACUCUGUUUGAACGGUCCCAACAAGUCAGCUUUCUAAGGGGUUAGAAAAAAAAAUACUGAAACAAAAAGCAAAACUAAAAAAACACCAACUGUAAUAAAAGGUGCAUCAAAAAUCCCUGCUCUUAGAAUCCUUAUGUACUAAAUCUCCCUGCAGUCUGCAGUACUGCUCUGCGUAUGUCUAAUGGGGCAGCUAUAAGGGGGGAAUACAGCCUAUUGGCCAGUAUGUAAUUUAUUGUACAUUUAGUAACUCUGUAGUCCAUGUAAAGCCUGACAUAACCCUCAGAAACCAGGCACUCAGCCUCUGGGGCCACUGCAUUCAAUUAUUGUUAGCCUCUUUUUACUGAAAUGCUUACCUACUGGCUCUGUGGUAAAGACAGGGCCUUGAUGAGCCACAAAGUACACUUCUCUUCAAGAGCAGGAGGGGAGCAGCUGAGACUGGAUUUCUCUAAAUGCUGAAGUUUUUUUGACUGCGUCUUGCCUUGCCGGUUCUGUGUUAAGAUGCAGUUGUUAAGGUGAGGCUUUCCAUAUACUAGCUUAAACUUGCUUAAAUUAAUUUAAAAAUCUAGUUUCGAGACAUCAAGACUGGUGCUGGAUUAAUACUUAGAUUUUAGCAGAUCUGAAUUCUUGUUGUACCUUAUGGCCCACACAGUAGUAGAUGCUGCUAUGACCCUGCUAUAUUUAUCUUGAUUUCCAAAACUUUUUUAACUAUUAAAGAUAUUUUCCAUGUAUAUAAAAGCAAUCUUGGAGUUUAAUAUUUUCAGAUUAAAUAAUAAAUUUGUUUGUUCAUUGAUCUUA